rnacentral:rRNA from 1 species
GAUGAACGCUAGCUACAGGCUUAACACAUGCAAGUCGAGGGGCAGCAUGGUCUUAGCUUGCUAAGGCCGAUGGCGACCGGCGCACGGGUGAGUAACACGUAUCCAACCUGCCGUCUACUCUUGGACAGCCUUCUGAAAGGAAGAUUGAUACAAGAUGGCAUCAUGAGUCCGCAUGUUCACAUGAUUAAAGGUAUUCCGGUAGACGAUGGGGAUGCGUUCCAUUAGAUAGUAGGCGGGGUAACGGCCCACCUAGUCUUCGAUGGAUAGGGGUUCUGAGAGGAAGGUCCCCCACAUUGGAACUGAGACACGGUCCAAACUCCUACGGGAGGCAGCAGUGAGGAAUAUUGGUCAAUGGGCGAGAGCCUGAACCAGCCAAGUAGCGUGAAGGAUGACUGCCCUAUGGGUUGUAAACUUCUUUUAUAAAGGAAUAAAGUCGGGUAUGGAUACCCGUUUGCAUGUACUUGAUGAAUAAGGAUCGGCUAACUCCGUG